ACGAACCGUACGAACGUUAUUCGGAAUUACUGGGCUUAAAGGGUUUGUAGGCGGCCUUGUAAGUCAGGUGUGAAAGCCCUCGGCUCAACCGAGGAACAGCGCUUGAUACUGCAAGGCUUGAGGGAGACAGAGGUAAGCGGAACUGAUGGUGGAGCGGUGAAAUGCGUUGAUAUCAUCAGGAACACCGGUGGCGAAAGCGGCUUACUGGGUCUCUUCUGACGCUGAGGAACGAAAGCUAGGGUAGCGAACGGGAUUAGAUACCCCGGUAGUCCUAGCUGUAAACGAUGAGCACUUAUCUGGGGAUCCUCCCAUAGGUUCCCGGAUGUAGCGAAAGUGUUAAGUGCUCCGCCUGGGGAGUAUGGUCGCAAGGCUG
rnacentral:rRNA from 1 species